AGCAACUAAAGCUUAAAUAAAGCUUAGGUAUUCAUAAUUCCUAGAACAACCGUUGCUC
rnacentral:tRNA from 1 species